AUGUCCAUCAACGUCACUCGAAUAUUUCUCGAGCGAGAAGGUAGUAUUGACGUAAUACGAUUGAUUCGUAUUUUUGAAGCACAAUAGAAAAAAAUAUACCAGUAAUAAAAAAGUCUUAGAACAAUGAGCUUUUUCAAACAGCCUUAUUACAAGGUACUGAGAAACUUUGCACGUUCUAUAGGUCGAUGGCCGGAUCAGUCUCGAUUACAAACUUUUCUGAUAGGAGUCGUCAUCAUUUCUGCAUUUAUUCUAAACCUCACACCAAUAAUAACAGCUGACGUAGUGCAUUUUGAUGAUCAACAAUUGAUAUUUGAAACAAUAGGGUCACUUUUAACUAAUGCUGCUACAUUAACUGUAUAUUUUAAUACUUUUUUAAACGGAAAAAAGCUAAAAGUUCUUUUUGAAAGAAUUAAUGACGAUUGGAAAUUAGUGACGAACAGAAGGGAAAUAAUGAUUUUAAAAAAAUAUGCGAAAUUAGGAAGUUUUAUUUCUGCUGGAUACGCAGGUUUCGUGUACAUGGCGACUUUUACAUUUGUAAUAGAGCCGGCUUUGCCGAUGAUGAUAAAUUUCAUUUUCAAAACAAAUAUAUCUGCUCCAUAUAACUUUUCCUGUCCAAUGGAAUGGGUUAUAAUAGAUAAAAGAAAAUAUUACUGGAUAUUAUUUACCAAUUCCACUGUGUGUGUUAUGUUAAUUCUCUCUGUACUCAUUUCUUGUGACGUUAUAUUUAUUACAUUCGUACAUCAUGCGUGCAGUUUAUUUGCAAUUGCUGGAUACCGAAUUAAAAAUUUGCCUACUGAUGUGAACUUCAACAAUAAACCAACGGAAUCAUAUCUGUUAAGAAACUCACACGAUGUUUACUACAUACAUUUAGUUUCGAGUAUCAAAAUUCAUCGGCGGGCUCUAGAAUAUUUUAAUUUGAUUGAAAGUACUUUUACUCUGGGCAUUGGAGUAGUUGUCUUUCUAAAUGUGCCACUGAUGAGUAUUACUGGCGUCCAGCUUAUAGUCCAAACAAAUACAUUGCAGCAGAAAAUAAAAUUAAUGAUGUUUGCAGUUGCGCAGAUAAUUCAUCUCUUUUUCGAAUGUUUUCUAUCCCAACAGCUGACGGAUAUGAGCUUAAAAAUCCAACGACACAUGUAUAUACGCACGCUAAUGGAAAGUGGUACAAUAUUUCGAAAAAAUCACAAAAAUUGUUGAUUCUGAUGACAUUGAGAAGUCAAGUGCCAUGUAUUUUAACCGCAGGAAAAAUCAUGGAUUUGUCCAUAGAAAGCUUUGGAAUGAUGAUGAAAACAUCUGGAUCAUACUUUACUGUUCUUCUAUCUAUGCAAUAAGUUUUUAUUAAUGGACUUGAAACUAUGACGGUUAAACUACGAAUUUAUUGAUGAUUACUAAAUAUGUACCUCAUCAUAAAUUUUUGUAUUUUGUAUUAAGUCUUGAAACUGUGCAAUUAAUAUCAUUUUUUUGUAAAUUUUUCACGGCUAAUUUUUUCAAAUUUUUUAUUCAUGUUGUUUUAUACCCCCUGAAAAUGAAUUAGUAAAAUUCACUGCGAAUUAGUGAACAUGCAUUGGGAACGAGCGAUAAGUAUAUCGCUGGUUGAAUUAGUGUUAUACUCAAAGCUGAAGGAAAAGUGAGCAUCUACAAAUUCACAGUAAAUUUCACUAAUUCAUUUUUAAAGAGUACGAAUUUAUGAGUGGAUUUAUAUAUGGAUUCUAUACUCUUUCAAAUUUGAAAUAGUGAAAAUAAUGACUAUUGACUGUUUACUAGUGAAAAUUAUAUCACUAAUUCAAAUAGUGAUAUAUUUUUCACUGGCAAUAUGUGACUAUUCACUGCCAAAUAGUGAUUGUCAUUUGAUUUUCAUUGAUUGAUUUUUGGAGAGUAGACAGUUCAAUCUUAAUAAUUUCACCAGAUUGAAGUUGACAAAAAGUUCUUAGAAAAGUAUGUAUUGGAAUUAAUGAUAAGUUAUUUAUAGGAUAUUGUUCAAUGGGAUUUAUAAAUUUGAUCAAAAUUACAUUUGUUACAGUAUUAACAUGGCCCGUAAGAUAAUGAAAAAGUUGGAUCUCAUUUUACUGUUCUGUUAUUAAUGCGUCAAACCUUAAUCAAUUUGUAAUAUCGAUAAUGAAAAGAAAAAAUUACUUGCCUACUAGCUAUGCUAUUUACUAUGAUGAUUGGUUCAUUUUCUGUAUCUAUAUUAACAUUAAAAUUUUGAUUAAUUAAUUGAUGUAUUUUUCAGUGACAUGAUUUACUAUCGACUCUUUCUUAAAUUUUUUUUUCUAUACUAAUUCUUGUUAAUGAAGUAUUAAAAUGAACUAAUUUUGCGUAUUUGGUUCUUGAAAAGUCACUUAGAAGCAUAUUUGGUACCCGUUAUAUGUAGAAUUGAAAAAAAAAUAGAAAAGAGUAUGACUCAAAAGGAAUUUAUAAUGUUAACUAUGAAAAUAAAAGAAAAAUUACUUGCAUUAAUUUAAAAACGAACCACCAAUAGUUAGUAUUCACCAUAAUUAUGAUACUCAUGAGUAUUCUCCGCGGUACAAAAUUUGUAUUGUCCAAAAUCGAUGAUUAAAUUCAAAAAUAUAAGAUAAAAUAAAAUUGAGAGGAAAAAACACGAAAUGUUGUGUUGAUUUUUAAUUGUUUUCAAAAAUUUUAACACCAUUAGACGUGUACGUAAAUAUAUAUGCAUGGAGAAACACAAUUGCAUAAAAAAAUUAUAAAAAAUGUAUUAAGUAAAAAAAAAUAAAAUAAAAGAAAUUAAAGAUACUACCAGACCAACGUUGUGUCUUAAAAAUGAAAUGUACAAAGACUACAAAGUUGUGUUGACGUGUGUCGAAAUAUAUAUUUUCUUAUUGUAAAAUAUAUUGUAGUAAAAAAAAAUAAGU